AAAAGAGAUGAAACUUUCGAUAAGUUAUGUAAACUCAGAACAAGUAUUUAGCUUUAGAAAGCAUUUACAUGUUUCAAACUUAUAAUAUAUACAUAUAUAAUGUUUAAAAUUAUGCAUAUAAAACCUGUGUAAAAUGUGCCUGAAUAUGUUUCUCUUCUUUAAUGUGUUAAUCGUACUAUAUAUAUCAUUAUUUUAAAAUUUCAAAAAGUUUAUGUCACAUACAAAAAACCAUCAAUAAAAAAUAUAAUUCUCCAUCUACAACAAGAAAAAUGAAAAAUUAUAAACAUAUAAAUUUAAACUAAGAAAAACUAACAUUGAAAAAAUAAGAAGUUAAUGUAAAAGAAAAAAAAACCGACAAAUAAUAUUAUAAAUAAAAUAAAUUUAUAAGACACAAUCCGCGCGAAGAAAAAAUCUCUAGUUCAUAUAAGAAAAAGAACGGAGUGAGAGUAAAUCUAUCUGUUGACCAAGAAAAGAGUACUUAAAUCACUAACAAGUCGGUCAACUCGGUUUAUUCCGGUUUGUGACGGUUCAUCUCGGCCUAAUCAGAAGUGAUGUUCAGAUACAUUGUGUUACAUCGGUUAAGACUUCUUCUCUAUCACUUAGAAACCUCUCUGAAUCUGUGCUUUGCCCUCCCGGAAGUGCCUAUGGUCUCAAUGUCGUUACCUUCUGGUGGAAGCGGAGCCAAUGAUCUUCACCUAUGUGUUCGAUUCGAGCCACAUGAGCGCGAUGAUGAGCUUCUUGAGCGCUAAUCUUAAUCAAUUUUCCUCACUUUUGCUUUACAGUGUUCACUGUGUUCAUAUGUCACUGUGUUCAUAUCUCAUUUGUGUUAUGCCAAAAAGCAUUAGAUAUUAUAUCAAAACAGUUUCAUAAUCUAAGAAGGGUCUAGGUUUAAAAAUGUUGAAUCUUGAAACUAUUAGUCUACAAAAUGUUCUUCUUUGGCAACAACAUGUAUCUAAAUUGUGGGCCUAAACAAUAAUGAAAGUUCUCAUCUUUGGGUAAAAAAGUUUGUGCAUUUGUGGUUGUGCUCAGUUCAGCUUUUUCUCAAACUUUGUGAGUUGUGAUGACAGAACAUACUGAUGUGAGCUGUAUCUUGUUCUUUGAUAAAGAAUGUGACUUUUGUAGUGGAAUAUUCAAGAUUAACAACCUGUUUAGACUUCCUAGGUUCUGUUAUGUCUUAUGUGGA
rnacentral:lncRNA from 1 species